rnacentral:rRNA from 1 species
GAUGAACGCUAGCUACAGGCUUAACACAUGCAAGUCGAGGGGAAACGAUGAGAGAGCUUGCUCUCUUAGUCGUCGACCGGCGCACGGGUGAGUAACGCGUAUCCAACCUGCCUCUGACCAAGGGAUAACCCGUCGAAAGUCGGACUAAUACCUUAUGCAGUCGUCGGAAGUCAUCUGAUGACGACGAAAGAUUUCAUCGGUGAGAGAUGGGGAUGCGUCUGAUUAGCUUGUUGGCGGGGUAACGGCCCACCAAGGCGACGAUCAGUAGGGGUUCUGAGAGGAAGGUCCCCCACAUUGGAACUGAGACACGGUCCAAACUCCUACGGGAGGCAGCAGUGAGGAAUAUUGGUCAAUGGGCGUAAGCCUGAACCAGCCAAGUAGCGUGCAGGAUGACGGCCCUAUGGGUUGUAAACUGCUUUUAUGCGGGGAUAAAGUGAGGGACGAGUCCUUCAUUGCAGGUACCGCAUGAAUAAGGACCGGCUAAUUCCGUG